AUGAAAGACUGUUAAAACAACACUUAGUUCUCCAACAGCAUAACCAUCGUGAGGAUUGUCUUGUUUGACUGCUCUGAGGUGUGUGUGUGUGUGUGUGUGUGUGUGUGUGUGUGUGUGUGUGUGUGUGUGUGUGUGUGUGUGUGCGUGUGCGUGUGCGUGUGUGUGAUGCGAUUACCUUGCUUGUAUGCCCACAGACGUGUUGGGGAGUUGGGUGUGUGGAAUGCAUGUCAUGCAGUUGUUAACCAAAUGUUUCAUUUUUUUCAUAACGUCCCAUUGCAAUUGGAUCGCCCUGCGUAAUGCAAGCUGAACCAAGGUUUGAUGAACCUGACUAAAACUUGCUGGCUGAGGAGCAAAAUGUAGGAUGUGCAUUCAUACAACGUCUAGAGUCCUGAAGUAACACUCAUUUCUACAUUAACCAGCACAGUGCGACUUCCGUCAUGUACUGUAUUAUAUAUGCAACAUGUGUCUGUCCGCUCUAUUAUAUAUAUAUCUAUAUAUCUAUAGAUAUAUCUAAUGCUAUAUCUAAAUAUGUAUGUGUAUAUAUAUAUAUGUGUGUGUGUGUGUGUGUGAUUCUUUUUCUUCUUUUUUUUACUCCCAUAAUGUAAGACUUCAGUUUUUAACCACUCUGCUGCUAGUCUUUUAUCUUCUUUCAAUCUUGCAAAUUGUACAUAUCUUUGGGAAUGCAUACAAGAGUAGAUUCUUGACUUUGUGUAGAUUUAAAGUAAAAAAAAAUGGCUAUAUAAAACCGUUUUUCUCUUGAGUGUAUUGUUUUAAAGGUAACUUUUCUCAGCAGUCGAGUGGUUAUGUUUCAGUUCUCCAACGCUUCGGUGCACUGAUGACGUUCGUACGCUCUCCUUCGCUCUCUCCCCCCUUUUCUUUCACACUUACAGCGCUUGAUGAUGUAACAUUUAUGUGAUUAGUUAUAAAUAGUGGACAACAUUUGUGUUUUUGAGAAUUGCAGUAUAAAUGGUACUCUUAACUAUUCUGUAAAACACUGCCUCGUUUUUUUGUUUCCUUUUUUUCGUUUUUUUUGUGUGCAUAUUUCUUCCUUUAUCGCCAUCAUCUUUCAACAGCCCUCCGCCCCCGCCCUACCACCCAUCCCCCUGACCCCCCACCCCAACAAACCCGACCCCCUCUCCCCUACCUGACAACCUCGAAAAAGUGCCUCACGCCCAUCCUUUGGUUCUACUGGUUUCUAUGUCUUCCGGUAUUUCUGUCAUGGUUUAAGAAUACCAAGUAUACAAUGUAAAAUGUAUAGUCCCAAUAACUCUCAUGUCAUAGUUGUAUUUUCUUUAUACAGAUGUAGCUUGUUACUUUUCAUAAAUCUAUAAUGUAAAUAUGCAUACAUAUGUUUGUAACUGUUUUUAUGUUACAUCAUACACUUGUAAUUUGACAUAUCAAAUAACAAAUAUCAU
ensembl:lncRNA